UUUUAGCUAUUUAAAUUUUUGUGCAUUGCAUAUUAAUUUAAAUAUGAGCAUGUGUAUAUGUGAAAUAUUUUACACAUAAUUAAUAUUUUUACAAGAUUUAAAUUAAAGUCUAUGAUUGGACUUUAAUUAUUUUAUGUGUUGGGCUUUGAUUUUUAUAUUGGACCCCUUAAGUUAAGUAUUUGAUUAACCAAAUGAAACCCUCCCUCACGCAGGUCCCCUCUCUCCCUCAUUACUCUCUUCUUCACCAUCAGUGAAACUCACAUGCACACAUUAAGGAGCUCUAAAAAGCCUAACCUAGUUUAGCCAACAAGAUCCCUCAAUUCAAGCUCACCAUGCACAUGCACAAAUCUCCAUCUCUCCCCCUCAUGCUCGGCUCUCUCAUCUCUCUCUUCUCUCCUUCUCUCUUCUCACUCUCCUGCACACUCAAGGAUGACAUCCUCACACAAUUAAUUCAAGAUACUCAUUAAGUGAAGCAAUCACUCCAUCACAUCAUCUCAUCAAAGCUCAUCAAAGCAAGCUUCCCUCUCUCCUUUUUGUACUCCCUUCGGCAGCCCCCUCCCCUCCUCACUCCACCACACUUCUCUCCUUGUUUCGCCAUUUUUGGAAAGGAUUAAGGAAGCCAAAAGUGCUACCCUCACACCAAGCUAUCAAGUGUACUUCAAUCUUCAAGAUCAAGCUCCAAGAGGCCUACGCAUCAUCCCCUACUUCACCUCCAUUGAUCUUGUUGGUUAAUGGCGGGUGAUGACGGGGCGGAGCUGAGGCUAGAGUUCAACUCCUUAUUUUGACUUCCGCUGUAGAACUAGCCCGUAUCUAUCUUUUGUUGAGCCUAAACUAUUGACUCUCAAGUAUUUCGAUUAAUGAAUGUUGGUUAUCUGAAGCAUGACACUAAACUUGUGAUCCUGAAGUUGUUACGUUUGUGGAUUGAUUCGUAUCA